rnacentral:rRNA from 1 species
GUAGGGUGCGAGCGUUGUCCGGAAUCACUGGGCGUAAAGGGCGCGUAGGCGGCCUGAUAAGUAGGAGGUGAAAUCCUGCGGCUUAACCGCAGGGCUGCCUUCUAAACUGUCGGGCUAGAGCACAGUAGAGGCAGGUGGAAUUCCCGGUGUAGCGGUGGAAUGCGUAGAGAUCAGGAAGAACAUCAGUGGCGAAGGCGGCCUGCUGGGCUGUUGCUGACGCUGAGGCGCGACAGCGUGGGGAGCAAACAGGAUUAGAUACCCUGGUAGUCCACGCCGUAAACGAUGGGCACUAGGCGUCGGGGGGAGCGACCCUCUCGGUGCCGUCGCUAACGCAGUAAGUGCCCCGCCUGGGGAGUACGGCCGCAAGGUUA